UCCCUUUGUUCUUCAGGGCUGGUACAGAG
rnacentral:piRNA from 1 species